rnacentral:rRNA from 1 species
AACGCUAGCUACAGGCUUAACACAUGCAAGUCGAGGGGCAGCACAGUGUAGCAAUACAUGGGUGGCGACCGGCGCACGGGUGCGUAACGCGUAUCCAACCUUCCCGUUACUCUUGGAUAGCCUUCCGAAAGGGAGAUUAAUACAAGAUGGUAUUCAAAUUCCGCAUGUUAUUUGAAUUAAAGAUUUAUCGGUAACGGAUGGGGAUGCGUGACAUUAGAUAGUAGGCGGGGUAACGGCCCACCUAGUCUACGAUGUCUAGGGGUUCUGAGAGGAAGGUCCCCCACACUGGAACUGAGACACGGUCCAGACUCCUACGGGAGGCAGCAGUGAGGAAUAUUGGUCAAUGGUCGGAAGACUGAACCAGCCAAGUAGCGUGAAGGAUGAAGGUUCUAUGGAUUGUAAACUUCUUUUAUACGGGAAUAAAACCUCCCACGUGUGGGAGCUUGUAUGUACCGUAUGAAUAAGCAUCGGCUAACUCCGUGCCAGCAGCCGCGGUAAUACGGAGGAUGCGAGCGUUAUCCGGAUUUAUUGGGUUUAAAGGGAGCGUAGACGGGAGAUUAAGUCAGUUGUGAAAGGCUGCGGCUCAACCGCAGCACUGCAGUUGAUACUGGUUUCCUUGAGUGCGGUUGAGGUGUAUGGAAUUCGUGGUGUAGCGGUGAAAUGCUCAGAUAUCACGAAGAACUCCGAUUG